rnacentral:lncRNA from 1 species
AGUCUCCUCCACCUCCCUCACAUUCCCCUCCUCCACCAUACUAUUACAAGUCUCCUCCACCACCCUCUCCCUCACCCCCACCUCCAUAUUACUACAAAUCUCCUCCACCACCCUCUCCCUCACCCCCACCUCCAUAUUAUUACAAGUCUCCCCCACCACCCUCACCAUCCCCUCCCCCACCAUACUAUUAUAAGUCUCCUCCACCCCCACAUAUACACAAGGACCCACCAUACUAUUACAAGUCCCCACCACCACCUUCACCAUCUCCUCCACCACCUUACUACUAUAAAUCUCCCCCACCACCCUCACCAUCUCCUCCACCACCAUACUACUACAAAUCUCCCCCACCACCUUCACCAUCUCCUCCACCACCAUACUACUACAAAUCUCCUCCUCCUCCAUCCCCUAUCCCCCGUACACCUUACUACUACAAGUCCCCGCCACCACCUUCACCAUCUCCUCCACCACCAUACUAUUACAAAUCUCCUCCCCCGCCAUCUCCUAUUCCCCAGACACCUUACUACUACAAGUCCCCACCACCACCUAAGUAUCUUCCACCACCAUACUAUUAUAACUCUCCUCCUCCACAUGUUGUGUAUCCUCAACCACACCCUUACCACCACUCAUUGAUUGUGAAGGUAGUGGGUAAAGUCUACAGCUUUAGGUGCUAUGAUUGGGAGUAUCCUGAAAAGUCUCAUGACAAGAAACACCUCAAAGGUACAUCACUUACUAAGGAUUGAACUUCUAUACACUAAUGAGUUUAGAGCAUGCAUGAGACUUAAUCGUUUAUCUGUUAAAAUCUUAAUUGCUUUAAAAUUAUUCAUUAAUAUUUUGAUAAAAAAUACAACUCUCUGUUUAUUUUGAUAUAUAGAUAGAUAGAUAAUUCAAAUAUAAAAUUCAAAUUAACUUUUAUCCACACGACAAUGGGCCAAUUUGAUUAAGAUUUUCCUAAAAAAUGAUUUUAUAGUAUUUUAUCUUUUUAUAAUAUUUUUAAAAAUAAAACUUCAAAUAAAAAAUUAGUUUAAAUAGUUUAUUUUAAAAUAUCGUUUUAAGUAUUUCAUCUAUUUAAUUAUUUUUGUGGACAAUGAAAUUUCAAAAAAAUGAUUAAAAUAAAAUCUAUUUUAAGAAUCUUUUUGUAAAAAUUAUUUUUGAAAGAUAUCUUUUUUUUUUAAAUUAUUUUUUAUCAUAUUAAAAUCUCUAAUAAUAAAUGUUUAAGUUAUUGAAUGUCAAAAUUAUUUUUUUAGUUGGUAAUAAAUAAAUGUAAAACAAACUUUAAUAUUUUUAAGUAAAUUCUCAUAAAAAUUUAAAUAUAUAAAAUCAAUUACUUUUUAAAAAUUUUAAAUAAUCGAAUUCAAUAUAAAUUGCUUAGAACCGGCUACAACCUGCCAAGAAUAAAGAAAACAAUCAAUAUGUCAAAUUAAUAUGUACAAUCUACCUCGUUGGAAUUUAAUAAUUGCCCCUAAUUUAAUAUUCUACUUGAAAUUGAUUGUUUAACAUGCUGCUUUUAAUAAUAAAGACCUAUAUAGUAUGUGUUUCUAUAUUUUACUCGAUCCUAAAGUAAUUUUGUUAUGGGGCAGGUGCUGUUGUUGAGGUGACAUGCAAAGCAGGAAGCAAAAUCAUCAAGGCUUAUGGUAAAACUAAGAUCAACGGAAAGUAUAGCAUCACAGUUGAGGAUUUUGACUAUGUUAAAUAUGGUGCCACAGUGUGCAAAGCUGUGCUUUAUGCUCCACCUAAAAACUCACCUUUCAACAUACUUACAAAGCUAAACCAAGGAACCCCAUUGAAGUUGAAAUCCAAAGACAAGUAUGAGGUUGUGCUUCAGGCUAAGCCAUUUGCUUAUGCUUCAAAGAAACAUUUUAAAGAAUGUGAGAAGCCCAAGCCUUCACCAACUCCAUACUACUACAAGUCACCUCCUCCUCCGGUGCCAGUUUACAAGUACAACUCACCACCUCCACCGGUCCAUUAUUAUUCUCCUCCGUAUUACUACAAAUCACCACCUCCUCCUGUAAAAACACCGCCACAUCCUUACUAUUACAAGUCUCCACCACCACCAUCACCAUCUCCUCCUCCUCCAUAUUAUUACAAAUCUCCCCCACCUCCUUCACCAUCACCUCCUCCACCUUAUUAUUAUAAAUCUCCUCCUCCACCCAAAGUGAUAUCAAACCCUCCAUACUACUAUAAGUCACCACCUCCACCAUCACCGUCACCUCCUCCACCAUACUACUAUAAGUCCCCACCUCCACCAUCACCAUCUCCACCACCCCCAUACUAUUAUAAGUCACCACCUCCACCAUCACCAUCACCUCCUCCACCAUACUACUAUAAGUCCCCACCUCCACCAUCACCAUCACCUCCUCCACCAUACUACUAUAAGUCCCCACCCCCACCAUCACCAUCCCCACCACCACCUUACUAUUAUAAGUCCCCACCUCCACCCAAAGAGAUUUCACACCCUCCAUACUACUAUAAAUCACCACCCCCACCAUCACCGUCACCUCCUCCACCAUACUACUAUAAGUCCCCACCCCCACCAUCACCAUCCCCACCACCACCUUAUUAUUAUAAGUCUCCACCUCCACCCAAAGAGAUUUCACACCCUCCAUACUAUUAUAAGUCACCACCCCCGCCAUCACCAUCCC